rnacentral:rRNA from 1 species
AGAGUUUGAUCCUGGCUCAGAUUGAACGCUGGCGGCAGGCCUAACACAUGCAAGUCGAGCGGUAGAGAGAAGCUUGCUUCUCUUGAGAGCGGCGGACGGGUGAGUAAUGCCUAGGAAUCUGCCUGGUAGUGGGGGAUAACGUUCGGAAACGAACGCUAAUACCGCAUACGUCCUACGGGAGAAAGCAGGGGACCUUCGGGCCUUGCGCUAUCAGAUGAGCCUAGGUCGGAUUAGCUAGUUGGUGAGGUAAUGGCUCACCAAGGCGACGAUCCGUAACUGGUCUGAGAGGAUGAUCAGUCACACUGGAACUGAGACACGGUCCAGACUCCUACGGGAGGCAGCAGUGGGGAAUAUUGGACAAUGGGCGAAAGCCUGAUCCAGCCAUGCCGCGUGUGUGAAGAAGGUCUUCGGAUUGUAAAGCACUUUAAGUUGGGAGGAAGGGCCAUUACCUAAUACGUGAUGGUUUUGACGUUACCGACAGAAUAAGCACCGGCUAACUCUGUGCCAGCAGCCGCGGUAAUAC